rnacentral:rRNA from 1 species
GACGAACGCUGGCGGCGUGCCUAAUACAUGCAAGUCGAACGCAGUGGGGACGGGUGAGUAACACGUGGGUAACCUCCCAUCAGAGGGGAUAACACUUGGAAACAGGUGCUAAACCGAUACUGAUGGAUGGACCCGCGGUGCAUUGGCUAGGUGGUGAGGUAACGGCUCACAAAGGCAACGAUGCAUAGCCGUCCUGUGAGAGUGUACGGAAAUACUGGGACGGAGACACGGCCCAGACUCCUACGGUCGGCAGCAGUAGGGAAUCUUCGGCAAUGGACGAAAGUCUGACCGAGCAACGCCGCGUGAGUUAAGAAGGUUUUCGGAGCGUAAAACUCUGUUGUUAGAGAAGCGGUAUCUAACCAGAAAGCCACGGCUAACUACGGGCCAGCAGCCGCGAUAAUUC